rnacentral:piRNA from 1 species
ACAAGGAGAAGACCCAGGCCCUGCAGAAC